rnacentral:tRNA from 1 species
AUCCGAGUGCUGGAAUUGGUAGACAGUGCAAACUUAAGCUUUGUUGGUUAAUACCGUGAACGUUCAAGUCGUUCCUCGGAUA